rnacentral:rRNA from 1 species
ACGUUAGCGGCGGACGGGUGAGUAACACGUGGGUAACCUACCUAUAAGACUGGGAUAACUUCGGGAAACCGGAGCUAAUACCGGAUAAUAUUUCGAACCGCAUGGUUCGAUAGUGAAAGGUGGUUUUGCUAUCACUUAUAGAUGGACCCGCGCCGUAUUAGCUAGUUGGUAAGGUAACGGCUUACCAAGGCGACGAUACGUAGCCGACCUGAGAGGGCGAUCGGCCACACUGGAACUGAGACACGGUCCAGACUCCUACGGGAGGCAGCAGCA